GCCCAUAGCUCAGUUGGUAGAGUGUGAGAUUCUUAAUCUCAGGGUCGUAGGUUUGAACCUUACGUUGGGUA